CAGGAAUUGAAUUUGAUACCCAAUGCGCUACAUGAUUUUAGGCCCGAUUUUCACUUGCUGACCAUUUUAUGAACAUCAUCAGGUGGAGGCUGCAAAUAUGUGGAUGCCUGAGAUGUCUGGUGAAUACAUCCACUCCACUGUGUGUUUGUACAGUGACCCGAGGUCAACUACAAUGGAGUGAUUUCCCAAUCCUAUAUCCUCCUCAUUCUUCACCUCCUCCCAUCCCUUCCUGUCUAACUUUAUUAAGAGAGAGGUCAAGAAAAAAAAAAAGAAGAAGAAGAAAAAAAAAGAGUAGUUUAAGCUCCUAAAUAUAAAGCUUAUGUAACACACCCAGUAUGGAUUUAAAUGAACUUUCUGAAUCAUUAUAAUAAGCAAGUGCUGUCCAGUGACAAUUGUUUUUCAGUGUGAGUACUUCAUCUGGCUCACAUCAGUUCAUAAGUAAAAUGUAAAGCAGUAACAUGUAAACUUCUGUUGUCUAAAACAAGAUGACUGCAUAUGAGAGCCCUUAUCCUUAUGUGUUCAGAAGUAUGACUCACUUUCCCUAAAAUGGCCCUCAUUGUUUAAGAACUAUAAACACAAUAUCUCCAAGCCUCAAAUGUAUAAAGCAAAAUUAAACACAUUUAAAAACAACUUAUUCAAACAUUCAUUCUGAUUUACACAAAACAGCACACAAAAUCAUCCAAAUACAUUGGUACGCUUAAUACACAUGAUUUAUUUAAAACAACAGAAUCCUGUAAAUCUGAACUGAGCGCUGGGACACGGCAGUCAGCUCACAUUCUGAAGCGCUAAGCUGUGGUACUUGUGCACCUGACUUUAAAUAAAAGAAGUAAACAAAGUAAAUUCAAUUAAAAAUGUGAAAACUGUUAUUGAUCUGAAAAAUCCAUAAGGAUAAAGGUACUUGUUUAUGAUUUUAGCUGUAAUAAAUUCUACAAA
ensembl:lncRNA